rnacentral:tRNA from 2 species
GCCUCCAUAGCUCAGGGGAUAGAGCACCGCUCUCCUAAAGCGGGUGUCGCAGGUUCGAAUCCUGCUGGGGGCA